AAAUUGAAGAGUUUGAUCAUGGCUCAGAUUGAACGCUGGCGGCAGGCCUAACACAUGCAAGUCGAGCGGAAACGAGUUAUCUGAACCUUCGGGGAACGAUAACGGCGUCGAGCGGCGGACGGGUGAGUAAUGCCUAGGAAAUUGCCCUGAUGUGGGGGAUAACCAUUGGAAACGAUGGCUAAUACCGCAUAACACCUUCGGGUCAAAGAGGGGACCUUCGGGCCUCUCGCGUCAGGAUAUGCCUAGGUGGGAUUAGCUAGUUGGUGAGGUAAUGGCUCACCAAGGCGACGAUCCUUAGCUGGUCUGAGAGGAUGAUCAGCCACACUGGAACUGAGACACGGUCCAGACUCCUACGGGAGGCAGCAGUGGGGAAUAUUGCACAAUGGGCGCAAGCCUGAUGCAGCCAUGCCGCGUGUGUGAAGAAGGCCUUCGGGUUGUAAAGCACUUUCAGUCGUGAGGAAGGUAGUGUAGUUAAUAGCUGCAUUAUUUGACGUUAGCGACAGAAGAAGCACCGGCUAACUCCGUGCCAGCAGCCGCGGUAAUACGGAGGGUGCGAGCGUUAAUCGGAAUUACUGGGCGUAAAGCGCAUGCAGGUGGUUUGUUAAGUCAGAUGUGAAAGCCCGGGGCUCAACCUCGGAAUAGCAUUUGAAACUGGCAGACUAGAGUACUGUAGAGGGGGUAGAAUUUCAGGUGUAGCGGUGAAAUGCGUAGAGAUCUGAAGGAAUACCGGUGGCGAAGGCGGCCCCCUGGACAGAUACUGACACUCAGAUGCGAAAGCGUGGGAGCAAACAGGAUUAGAUACCCUGGUAGUCCACGCCGUAAACGAUGUCUACUUGGAGGUUGUGGCCUUGAGCCGUGGCUUUCGGAGCUAACGCGUUAAGUAGACCGCCUGGGGAGUACGGUCGCAAGAUUAAAACUCAAAUGAAUUGACGGGGGCCCGCACAAGCGGUGGAGCAUGUGGUUUAAUUCGAUGCAACGCGAAGAACCUUACCUACUCUUGACAUCCAGAGAACUUUCCAGAGAUGGAUUGGUGCCUUCGGGAACUCUGAGACAGGUGCUGCAUGGCUGUCGUCAGCUCGUGUUGUGAAAUGUUGGGUUAAGUCCCGCAACGAGCGCAACCCUUAUCCUUGUUUGCCAGCACUUCGGGUGGGAACUCCAGGGAGACUGCCGGUGAUAAACCGGAGGAAGGUGGGGACGACGUCAAGUCAUCAUGGCCCUUACGAGUAGGGCUACACACGUGCUACAAUGGCGCAUACAGAGGGCAGCCAACUUGCGAAAGUGAGCGAAUCCCAAAAAGUGCGUCGUAGUCCGGAUCGGAGUCUGCAACUCGACUCCGUGAAGUCGGAAUCGCUAGUAAUCGUGGAUCAGAAUGCCACGGUGAAUACGUUCCCGGGCCUUGUACACACCGCCCGUCACACCAUGGGAGUGGGCUGCAAAAGAAGUAGGUAGUUUAACCUUCGGGAGGACGCUUACCACUUUGUGGUUCAUGACUGGGGUGAAGUCGUAACAAGGUAGCGCUAGGGGAACCUGGCGCUGGAUCACCUCCUUAUACGAUGAU
rnacentral:rRNA from 1 species